rnacentral:rRNA from 1 species
GACGAACCGUGCGAACGUUGUUCGGAUUCACUGGGCUUAAAGGGCGCGUAGGCGGGCCCGCAAGUCGGGGGUGAAAUCCCACGGCCCAACCGUGGAAGAGCUUCCGAUACUGCGGGCCUGGAGGGAGGUAGGGGCGUGUGGAACUUCCGGUGGAGCGGUGAAAUGCGUAGAUAUCGGAAGGAACGCCGGUGGCGAAAGCGACGCGCUGGACCUCUUCUGACGCUGAGGCGCGAAAGCCAGGGGAGCAAACAGG